UUAGUCACUAGAUGGCAGUGUCAGACCAUGCUUUGUGUUAUCUAUGCAUUAACAGACUGUGUUUACAGGGUGGCCAACUUUAGAGGAGAAUUAAACCUUUUACAGCAUUGCUCAAACUUUGGUUUUAGUCUCAAUCGCUAAGUUCUUCCUUCAUGACAACUCUGAGGGGGGUGUAUUUUAUUUUAACUCCCUCGUUUAAGCGAUAUAGAUGUUUGAAAUUCACGUGACGUCACAGUGUAAGCUGUGCUGUGUGUUGUGAGUUCGGCUUUCACCAGUUACACGUGAACGCCUCAUGAAAUGGCUUACACCCACAUACCCGGUAAAUUACACACUUUGAUGUUCUGCUCCUUCUCCUGACGGUCACGGUAACGAUGUCUGCGCCUCCGUUUCUGUGGAUGUCCAGCGUGAGACACAACUUGAAUCCAACCAGACUGAACACUGACUCCAGGUACAGACCUGUUUUCAUUACUUACAAAGUAUUGCACAUAAUACAUAAUGUGUUAAAUUAUAAUGCAAUACUUUUAAUGUGAAAUAGCUCCAUACUAAACAUUCAUUGUCAUGGUAGUGCACGUUUUAAUCCAAAAGCAUAUUCAAAUACAUAGUUGAAUAUCCACCGAAAAUAAGAAUACACACUUUGUUCAUAUGUAACUCUUUCUCUAUAAUUAUGACAUACUUUCAUGUUUCCUAUCAUUUUAUUAGGGACGGACGAGCCUGAAGGACACAGCUGUGAUGACCAUGUUCUGUCUCUUAUGACAAAGCAGAAAUAUAAAACACUGGGUUCUUAUCUAAAGUGUAUCAAAUCAGAUCUCCACCAUGUUGCUGCUGAGGACAUCAGGUGCUGCAGUUCUUCAUCUAUGAAGAUGAAAAAACUCACUGUUAAAGAAUGUUUUGUGUUGUGUAUGAAGCACAACAGAUUUCAGAUAGAACCGUUGUACUGUGGUCUGGGUUUGUAUCCUAAUGGUUAAAUGCACAUAUUUUAAGUCGCUUUUGAUAAAAGUACUGAAAGAAAUACAACAUUUUAAAAAUAGAUAAAAUGUCUUUCUACCUCAUCUGUAAUAUUCAAGGUGAUAAUCUCCCACAGAGCUAUUGAUAACAGUCCACAUCAAGUCUCUCCACUUCCCUCAGUGUGAAAACAUAAUUAUAUAAUUAAUUUGAGAACUGUUUACAACACUGAUGUGUGGAGAUUAAAAUCAUAUCUAAACUGUCUAAUUCACUGUAAAACUCCAUGACAUUCGCAGGCCAUCUGUAGUUAAGGGAGCAACGUAUGGAGUGAUGUGUAGAGGGCAGAAACUUGGACUAUGGGCAGAGAAGGUCUCUGGUUCGUCUCCGGUUUGACUCCACGGAGAGACAACAAAAGACAAACCUGGAUUGAUCUGUCCAAAAAUCCAAGAGUCUCCCUACCCUCUCUAGUGCCCCUGAGCAAGGCACCUCACUCCCCCAACAUCUGCUCCGUGAGCGCCGUACAUGGUCGCUCACUGCUCUGUGUGUCCUGCACCAGAUGGGUAAAAAGCAGAGAUUAAAUUUCCCUACCUGCAUGAGUGUGCCUUUGCAUGUCUGUGCAUGUGUUUGGGACGAAUAAAUGGAUCUUAAUCUUAAUCUUUUAAUCUUAAUCAGUUGUCUUCCAGUUGACCAGCAUGAAGCUGCAAAUCUCCACCAUGUUGCUGCUGAGGACAUCAGGAGCUGCAUUAAUGAGGAGCAGAAGCGCACUGUUAUGAAUGUUUUGUGUUGUGUAUGAAGCACCACAUAUUUCAGAUAGAACCGAUGUACUGGGGUCUGGGUUUGUAUACUAAUGGUUAAAUGCACAUACUUUAAAUCGCUUUUGAUAAAACGUGAGAAAGAAAUACAACAUUGUACACAGAUAAAAUGUCUUUCUACCUCAUCUGUAAUAUUCAAGGUGAUGAUCUCCCACAGAGCUGUUGAUAACAGUCCACAUCAAGUCUCUCCACUUCCCUCAGUGUGAAAACAUAAUUAUAUAAUUAACUGGAGAAGUGUUUACAACACUGAUGUGUGGACAUUAUAAUCUUAUCUAUACUGUCUAAUUGACUCUACAACUCCAUGACAGACUAAAUUAACGAUGUGAAAAUAGUAAUGGUGGAUAUAUCAGCCUGUAUCAGAAUAAUGGUGAAACAUAGUUAUUAUCACAUGCAACUUACACAUGUAGCGUAUUGAUAUUAACUUAUUAAAAUAAAACAAAGUCACAGCCAAA